rnacentral:rRNA from 1 species
CAACAUGACUCUCGGCAACGGAUAUCUCGGCUCUCGCAUCGAUGAAGAACGUAGCAAAAUGCGAUACCUGGUGUGAAUUGCAGAAUCCCGUGAACCAUCGAGUUUUUGAACGCAAGUUGCGCCUGAGGCCUUCUGGUCGAGGGCACGUCUGCCUGGGCGUCACG